CCUACGGGGGGCUGCAGUGGGGAAUAUUGCACAAUGGACGAAAGUCUGAUGCAGCAACGCCGCGUGGAGGAUGACACAUUUCGGUGCGUAAACUCCUUUUAUAUGAGAAGAUAAUGACGGUAUUAUAUGAAUAAGCACCGGCUAACUCCGUGCCAGCAGCCGCGGUAAUACGGGGGGUGCAAGCGUUACUCGGAAUCACUGGGCGUAAAGAGCAUGUAGGCGGAUUAAUAAGUUUGAAGUGAAAUCCUAUAGCUUAACUAUAGAACUGCUUUGAAAACUGUUAAUCUAGAAUGUGGGAGAGGUAGAUGGAAUUUCUGGUGUAGGGGUAAAAUCCGUAGAGAUCAGAAGGAAUACCGAUUGCGAAGGCGAUCUACUGGAACAUUAUUGACGCUGAGAUGCGAAAGCGUGGGGAGCAAACAGGCUUAGAUACCCUAGUAGUC
rnacentral:rRNA from 1 species